rnacentral:rRNA from 1 species
GCUGAUUCGCUGCACGCAGCGUAGGUAGUGUGGAGAGUGCGAGCGGUGAUGGGGAGUGCUGGACGUAAAGGGGGCAGAGGAGGGUAGGUAAGCUAAAUGGGAAAGCCCUGUGGUGAACCGAGGUAGAUCAUGUCGAACUGGCGAACUAGAGUCUGGGAGAGGGGGGUAGAAUUCUAGGGGGAGCGGUGAAAUGCGUAGAGAUCUGGAGGAAUACCGGUGGCGAAGGCGGCCCCCUGGACAAAGACUGACGCUCAUGUGCGAAAGCGUGGGGAGCAAACAGGAUUAGAUACCCCUGUAGUC